rnacentral:rRNA from 1 species
UACGAGUGCCUCAAGCGUUAUCCGGAAUCAUUGGGCGUAAAGGUUGUGUAGGUGGUUAUAUUAGUCUCUUGUUAAAUUCUUCGGCUUAACCGGGGGCAUGCAAGGGGAACGGUAUGACUAGAGGAUGCGAGGGGUCUGCGGAACUCAUAGUGUAGCGGUGAAAUGCGUUGAUAUUAUGGGGAACACCAAAAGCGAAGGCAGCAGACUGGAGCACUCCUGACACUGAAACAAGAAAGCGUGGGUCGCGAAUGGG